rnacentral:rRNA from 1 species
ACGCACGCUGGCGGCGUGCCUCGUACAUGCAAGUAGAACGCUGAAGAGAGGAGCUUGCUCUUCUUGGAUGAGUUGCGAACGGGUGAGUAACGCGUAGGUAACCUGCCUUGUAGCGGGGGAUAACUAUUGGAAACGAUAGCUAAUACCGCAUAACAAUGGAUGACACAUGUCAUUUAUUUGAAAGGGGCAAUUGCUCCACUACAAGAUGGACCUGCGUUGUAUUAGCUAGUAGGUGAGGUAAUGGCUCACCUAGGCGACGAUACAUAGCCGACCUGAGAGGGUGAUCGGCCACACUGGGACUGAGACACGGCCCAGACUCCUACGGGAGGCAGCAGUAGGGAAUCUUCGGCAAUGGGGGCAACCCUGACCGAGCAACGCCGCGUGAGUGAAGAAGGUUUUCGGAUCGUAAAGCUCUGUUGUAAGUCAAGAACGGGUGUGAGAGUGGAAAGUUCACACUGUGACGGUAGCUUACCAGAAAGGGACGGCUAACUACGUG